AGAGUUUGAUCCUGGCUCAGGAUGAACGCUAGCGGCAGGCCUAACACAUGCAAGUCGAGGGGUAACGAUGAUUUAGCUUGCUAAAUCAGGCGACGACCGGCGCACGGGUGAGUAACGCGUAUGAAACCUGCCCUGUACUGGGGGAUAGCCCGGAGAAAUCCGGAUUAAUACCCCAUAAUAUCUAGAUGCUGCAUGGUAUUUAGAUUAAAACUCCGGUGGUACAGGGUGGUCAUGCGUGACAUUAGCUAGUUGGUAGGGUAACGGCUCACCAAGGCGACGAUGUCUAGGGGUUCUGAGAGGAUUAUCCCCCACACUGGUACUGAGACACGGACCAGACUCCUACGGGAGGCAGCAGUGAGGAAUAUUGGUCAAUGGGCGAAAGCCUGAACCAGCCAUGCCGCGUGCAGGAAGACUGCCCUAUGGGUUGUAAACUGCUUUUGUACGGGAAUAAUGAUAGCUACGUGUAGUUAUUCGAAUGUACCGUAAGAAUAAGCAUCGGCUAACUCCGUGCCAGCAGCCGCGGUAAUACGGAGGAUGCAAGCGUUAUCCGGAUUUAUUGGGUUUAAAGGGUACGUAGGCGGAAGUUUAAGUCAGUGGUGAAAGUCUGCAGCUUAACUGUAGAAUUGCCAUUGAUACUGAAUUUCUUGAGUGCGGUUGAGGUAGGCGGAAUGUGUAAUGUAGCGGUGAAAUGCUUAGAUAUUACACAGAACACCGAUUGCGUAGGCAGCUUACUAAGCCGUAACUGACGCUGAGGUACGAAAGCGUGGGGAGCGAACAGGAUUAGAUACCCUGGUAGUCCACGCCGUAAACGAUGAUCACUCGCUGUUGGCGACACAUAGUCAGCGGCCAAGCGAAAGCAUUAAGUGAUCCACCUGGGGAGUACGCCGGCAACGGUGAAACUCAAAGGAAUUGACGGGGGCCCGCACAAGCGGUGGAACAUGUGUUUAAUUCGAUGAUACGCGAGGAACCUUACCUGGGCUUAAAUGUAGAGUGCAUGUUCUGGAAACAGGACUUUCCUUCGGGACUCUUUACAAGGUGCUGCAUGGUUGUCGUCAGCUCGUGCCGUGAGGUGUCGGGUUAAGUCCCCUAACGAGCGCAACCCUUAUCGUUAGUUGCCAUCAGGUCAAGCUGGGGACUCUAACGAAACUGCCGGUGUAAACCGAGAGGAAGGUGGGGAUGACGUCAAAUCAGCACGGCCCUUAUGUCCAGGGCUACACACGUGUUACAAUGGUCGGUACAAAGGGCAGCUACUUGGCAACAAGAUGCAAAUCCCUAAAACCGGUCUCAGUUCGGAUUGAAGUCUGCAACUCGACUUCAUGAAGCUGGAAUCGCUAGUAAUCGCGCAUCAGCCAUGGCGCGGUGAAUACGUUCCCGGGCCUUGUACACACCGCCCGUCAAGCCAUGGAAGCUGGGGGUACCUGAAGUCUGUAACCGCAAGGAGCGGCCUAGGGUAAAACUGGUAACUGGGGCUAAGUCGUAACAAGGUA
rnacentral:rRNA from 1 species